UACGUAGGGGGCAAGCGUUGUCCGGAAUCAUUGGGCGUAAAGCGCGCGUAGGCGGUCUGUCACGUCGGCUGUGAAAACCCGGGGCUCAACCCCGGGCCUGCAGUCGAUACGGGCAGACUAGAGUGCGGUAGGGGAGACUGGAAUUCCUGGUGUAGCGGUGAAAUGCGCAGAUAUCAGGAGGAACACCGGUGGCGAAGGCGGGUCUCUGGGCCGUAACUGACGCUGAGGAGCGAAAGCGUGGGGAGCGAACAGG
rnacentral:rRNA from 1 species